AGAGAGAGAGAUCUAUAGCGAAAAACCUUACCGCAGAGGAAGAAUCAGUGUUUGCUGCCUUUAAGUACCUGGGGCUGUGCCGAUAACAAAAGGGGGUUAAGUAGUGGGGGUAGGGGGCGGGGGGCAGAUGGGGGCUGGUAAUGCAGCUGGGGAGAUGCCAAAAAAAGCAGAACAAAACACGUUUUCGUUUUGUCUGCACCAGCCUGCGACAGAGAGCGAGCGAGCGAGAUGCACAGUGAAAACGCUGCUGAGCUCGGAAACGGGCCUACAGCCACUUUGGAAGCCGCGGCAAUAAUUCUCUCCCUUCCUCGCAUUCACCCUGCCCACUCUGGCUCGACUGCCAAGUCGGAGAGUUGGCACGGCUUCCCAGGGAGCGCGGAACAAAGCCGUCACCCAUCCCUGAACAGGCGCUGACGGCAGGCUAAGUGACAGGCGCAUCUUCUGCAUGUUAAUCCACGGGGUGAGGAGGAGAGAGCAAAAUCCACCGGCUCCCCCGCCACCGGCCACUCCUUUCCAACCCAAGCCCCGGUGGGCCCCGUGCACCGUCCGCAAGGCAGGAGCCCUGGAGAAACAGAGCUGGCCCGGCAAGUCAAACAAACAAGCAAGCAAGCGCAGGAUUUAAAUACAAACCACCGCCCGACCCAGCAGCACCCUGGCAAACAAGGCCGCUCGGCAUCUGCUGUACCUGUUCCCGCUGCCUUCAUCUUGCCUUGGAACCGUGACAAGAGAGAAGCGUCGCCUCUGGUGGGCUCUCGCAGCCUCGGGUCUGCAACCCUGUGCAGGAAGUUGGCACCGAUCCCAGCGCCUGCAUUAUUCCAGUCCACAAGCGGGAAGGAGUUUACAGUACAGACUCUCUCUUGAGGCUGCCAGCAGGAAAGAGAGGGAGUUCUCACAAUCGAACAGCGAGAAGAGCAAGGAGAAAUUAACAUCCAAUUAGCGCCGUGUUUAACGAGGGAGACAGAGACAGCCGUUGUUUUAUUGCCCUGUUCUUUUCAUUCGGAUCUGACAGGCAGUGCGGCAGGCACCCCCGGCUGCAGUGACGUCAUUUUCCCCCCCUUUUUCCUCCUCCAAGUUUCCCAGAGGUGGAUCGUCAACUCAGCUGGGGAAAUUUGUUACUUUGUUGCAUUAAAAAUUAUUCUCCCUCCUCCACACCC